rnacentral:rRNA from 1 species
GAUGAACGCUAGCUACAGGCUUAACACAUGCAAGUCGAGGGGCAGCAUUUUAGUUUGCUUGCAAACUGAAGAUGGCGACCGGCGCACGGGUGAGUAACACGUAUCCAACCUGCCGAUAACUCCGGAAUAGCCUUUCGAAAGAAAGAUUAAUACCGGAUAGCAUACGAAUAUCGCAUGAUAUUUUUAUUAAAGAAUUUCGGUUAUCGAUGGGGAUGCGUUCCAUUAGUUUGUUGGCGGGGUAACGGCCCACCAAGACUACGAUGGAUAGGGGUUCUGAGAGGAAGGUCCCCCACAUUGGAACUGAGACACGGUCCAAACUCCUACGGGAGGCAGCAGUGAGGAAUAUUGGUCAAUGGGCGAGAGCCUGAACCAGCCAAGUAGCGUGAAGGAUGAAGGCUCUAUGGGUCGUAAACUUCUUUUAUAUGGGAAUAAAGUUUUCCACGUGUGGAAUUUUGUAUGUACCAUAUGAAUAAGGAUCGGCUAACUCCGUG